UACGGAGGGUGCAAGCGUUAUCCGGAUUCACUGGGUUUAAAGGGUGCGUAGGUGGGUUGGUAAGUCAGUGGUGAAAUCUCCAGGCUUAACUUGGAAACUGCCAUUGAUACUAUCAGUCUUGAAUACCGUGGAGGUCAGCGGAAUAUGUCAUGUAGCGGUGAAAUGCUUAGAUAUGACAUAGAACACCAAUUGCGAAGGCAGCUGACUACGCGAAUAUUGACACUGAUGCACGAAAGCGUGGGGAUCAAACAGG
rnacentral:rRNA from 1 species